UAAGAUAGAAUGUUUGAAAGAUAUUACUUUGGUUUCUAAACUUUUUCUUCUAUUUCUUUUGUGUGCAACUUGUUACGGUGUACCAAAUCUAGGUUGCAGUCUAGCUGAUCAUAAUUCUUGGAAUCCCUUAUCAAACUGUGAUUUAGGAACUAUUGGAUCUAGCACUGUCAAACAAAAAGUUCUGUGCAGUAUGUUUGUUCAAUUAUUUGAAGGUCUUGUAUGUUUUGUUAUUACUUAAGAUACGAAGGUGCUAAUAAAUAAUUGAUAUUUGGAUUCAAAGUAUGAAAAUUUAAUGAUAUGUGCGGUCUGUUUUUAAUAAUUCUAUAAGAUUUUGGCUUAUUGGUUAUCUUCUCAUUUUCCCAACAUUUUUCUUGUUUCAUUUCUCUUAGUUUCUGUUCACUCUUCGUUUUUAGUGAAACAAAAUUUUGGAUUGAUUGUAAUUUGAAGCUCUAGGGAGGUUAUGACAUAUGCCAAAUGACUGCGAGACUAAGUAGAGGUGGAAGCAUGACUUGUUUUUAUAUUCAAUGUUCUUCCUCUGAUAAAAACCAAAGCUGGAGGAGAAGCAUUCUUGUUGAUGGUUACAAAUACACACUACUAAAACCAAUUACUUUACUGCCUGAAAAAAUAAAAGAAAAAUCUUCUCAUCCACAGCCAGACAUGCCAACCACGACCAAGUGUUUUACAAGCACUGAUAUUUGCAAUAUUUCGGUUAAAGAAGGUUAUUGUAUAAAUGAGGAAGAUGAGGAACAUUGAUAAAUGCUUAUUAACUCUCCUCAUGUUCCUGUGUCCCUAUUUGUUUUUCUUUAGUGCUAUGGCACUACACAAACACAAAGAGGAACACAAGGAUAGUUAGUAAGCGUUUAAAGAGAAGUUCACAAGUUCAAGACACAUCACCUUGUACUAGAAGAACUUACUGUAUGUUCUGAUUUCAAGGUGUCACAAAUCAAAUUAGUUAUGCUUUUAUGUAAACAUUUAUAUGGACAUCUUUGUAGCACUGAUAACCUUUUUAUGUGACUGUCCUUUUUGACAUUCUUGCUCAAGUUUUCUGAAAUUCAUUAUCUAUGCUCAAUCUGUUCAUUACUCUCAUUCCAGGAUUACUUCUCAAAGUGGGGAGAGAGUGGUACAGUGGACCUAAAAUAUGAACCCUUAAGUUCACGCGACAAAACUAGUGUUAACGAACAGACACCCGCAUGCAUCACAUGGGAUCUAUGUUUGUGUAAAAUAUAAAUCAUUAAAUGUAGGUGCUUUGUUGCAUGAUUGGGUCAAAGAUUUCAUAAAUUUCUAGUGUACAUUUGUCAACACCACAAUUACAGAUAGCUCAUUAGAAAGAUAAACUGUUUGCAAUUUAAAGGAAAUGAUGAUAGAUUAUUAGCUAUCCUUCUGUUUAGUAUUUCCUUUUUUGAGUUCAGUAUCAUAUUUUAGCAAGCAAACAGAUUACUAUUAUGGACCGUCAUAGCAUAUUUGUGUCUUGAUCAGUGGCGAAUAUAAAUAUCCCUGUUUCCAGUUUAUUCUUAAUCAGAGAAAUCAAUAUCCAAAUCAAGAUCCUAGGCCACCAAUUCGGUGUUGAUGUAGACGAUUGAUGUCAACUUUGUUAAUUCUUCCAUAGACCUUUGAACCUGGUUGCCAAAACCCCUUUGAUAAGCAAUGGUGGUGAUAAUGAUAUGUUGGGAAUAUAGUAUUGAAAAUAUAGGCUUACCCCCAGCAGUAAACAACAUCAUUCAUUUCCACAAAACACAAUAAAUCUUCACUAAUUUAUGCUUUUGAGUAAGAUGAAAACAUAAAUAAUAUUCAUGCACCGCGUAGAUCAUUUUUAUUUAAUUGACUUACAACUUUCUGCCACAUGAUGUUCUAACAGGUGCAUAUAUUUAAUUUCUCAGGUUGGUUUUGUCACCUUCUUCCUAAAUUCUGUCCUUGAUAAUCUAACAUCAACAAUUGUCAUGGUCUCCUUGUUGUGAAAACUAGUGCCUCCAUCAGAAUACAGAAAGACUCAAUAAAUUCUUCGAGAUAUGAAGUUGGACACAUUGGAGAGAAAGGAGGAGAAGACUUGAAGGAUAAAUAGAGGAUUCUAGAUAUGGUUUCUUUUAAUAGUUUAUGUUGUGGUAAUUUGACUUGUUGUAGCAAAUCAUGAUUAUCAGCUAUCUAUAGCAUGUUGUAUUUUAAAUGAAGGCUUAUUGUGUAGCCUAGAGUUUCUUAUGAGGAUCUUUUGCGAAACUCUUUUGUGUCUUCAGCCUUUUUAUCAUGACUAGUUAUUGGAGUAAUAUUUUUGUUCU